UACGGGGGGUGCGAGCGUUGUCCGGAAUCACUGGGCGUAAAGGGCGCGUAGGUGGUUUGAUAAGGGUGUGGUGAAAGCCCGGAGCUCAACUCCGGGGUCUGCCGUGCCGACUGUCAAACUCGAGGGCUGUAGAGGCAGACGGAAUUCCGGGUGUAGCGGUGGAAUGCGUAGAGAUCCGGAGGAAGACCGGUGGCGAAGGCGGUCUGCUGGGCAGUUUCUGACACUGAUGCGCGACAGCGUGGGGAGCAAACAGG
rnacentral:rRNA from 1 species